rnacentral:lncRNA from 1 species
CUGAUGUCAAGUUAAGGCAUUUUUGAUUAGGUGGAAAAUAGGGGAAAAGGGGGAUAGAAAUUCUUGGACCUUUCAUCAGUGCCCAGAAUCCCUGGGCGCCUAUGCUUUAGAAGUCUUCUUCACAACAAUCCCCCAAAUCCAGUUGGCGUCCGUUCUCCUGCAGCACCGCACCCUUCUUUCUAUUCUUAUUACCACCACCUUAGUUUUGGGCUCCAUCACCUCAUAACUGGAUUAUUAGAAGGGCCUCCUAACCACACCCGGGGCCCCUGUCUUCCAUACCCCAUCCCCACCAUUUGUGCUUUGCUAUAAGCUGCAUAGGCCUAAUGUCACUGGUCCCCCGCUAAGAAGCUCUCAAAGGUUCCUCGCUCCCUGUGGAAUGAAGUCCAAAUUCUUAACUGUGGCUUUCUCUAUGCCCUCCCCCAGGGCCUGCUUUCUUGGUUUUCCUGCUUCAGCACUUCUUCACUCAUACCUCAGCCAGACGAGACGAUGUGUUACACACUAAACAUUUCUCACUGCCUUCACGCCAGCUUCUAAGGCAUAUCCUGAGCCAGGCAGAGUCCAGAUAAAAUGUACUUUGGUCAAGUAUUUGUUUUGGGUACUUUGUCAUCCAACCUUCAUCGUCCUCCAGCAGUUCCUCAUACCUUUCGUAGCCCAGCCCAUGUUCUGUUCUUGUUCUCAGCUGGUUAUCAAGUAAUCCUUACUAAAACGUUGGAGCAUUAACUGCUAAGGCCAAUGUGGUGAUGUUGCCUUCAUUCAGUACACAUGGCAGCUGGUUUGCAGAAAGAAUCUCUAGGAGUGGGUUUCCUGAGAAGGGCACUGUGAGGAGACCCUGUGAAGCUGAGGAAAGUGAGCAUCACGACCAGGAGGAAAAAUAUCAAGAAGCAGCACUUCACUUCCCUUUUAGUUUCUUCAUUUUCUCAUCGUUCACAUUAUUAUUUCUUUGGGGUGUGGCACCUGUGAGGUGCCAUAAAUUUUCGUAAUGAAAUUGAAAGUAAAGUCCAACUACGGUUCAUAAGAUCUAGUAUAAUUUAUUUUUAAACUCUUUUUGAACAUAUGAUGAGCCGGUCUAUUACUGGCAUUGCCAUGGAAUAGACAGCUGUAUAAGAAAAAAUGUUUUCAUUCACUGUAAAAAUGAAAUGGAAGUUUCCACCGUAGCACUAGGGCACCCUCUUAGCCAAUGAAAUGAUAAUCCAGGAAUCAGAAUCACUCUUUCCCACAUUCUUCAUUUCAACAAGAAAACACCUGGAUAAGUAUACAGUGUGACAUUGAGAGCCCUUGAUUUGAGAUACUCUGCGGUGUCAAUAACAGGUGAAGACUUUUUAGUUAACAGUUUAAGAGUUGAUGCUAAAUGACCCUGUAAUCUUAAGUAUUUAUACAGCAAAAAUAAAUGUUAUUUGUGAAGCACAUUAGAGAUUAAUAUAAAAUAUGUGUGUCAUUUGCAUCUUCG